rnacentral:tRNA from 1 species
GGCCAGUUGGUCAAGGGCUAAGACGCCGCCCUCUCACGGCGGAAACACGGGUUCGAUUCCCGUACUGGCUA